ensembl:snoRNA
GCUGUUCAGUGAUGAGGCCAUGGAACUAGCACUGUACAGUGUCCGACAGGCAUGAGGAGACAUUCCGUGCUGCCUUCCUUUUGAGAACCAC